rnacentral:rRNA from 1 species
GCUCAACCCCGAGCGGCCAUUGGAAACUGGGGAGCUUGAGUGCAGAAGAGGAGAGUGGAAUUCCACGUGUAGCGGUGAAAUGCGUAGAGAUGUGGAGGAACACCAGUGGCGAAGGCGACUCUCUGGUCUGUAACUGACGCUGAGGCGCGAAAGCGUGGUGAGCGAACAGGAUUAGAUACCCUGGUAGUCCACGCCGUAAACGAUGAGUGCUAGGUGUUAGGGGUUUCGAUGCCCGUAGUGCCGAAGUUAACACAUUAAGCACUCCGCCUGGGGAGUACGGCCGCAAGGCUGAAACUCAAAGGAAUUGACGGGGACCCGCACAAGCAGUGGAGCAUGUGGUUUAAUUCGAAGCAACGCGAAGAACCUUACCAGGUCUUGACAUCCUUUGGCCACCCAAGAGAUUGGGCUUCCCCUUCGGGGGCAAAGUGACAGGUGGUGCAUGGUUGUCGUCAGCUCGUGUCGUGAGAUGUUGGGUUAAGUCCCGCAACGAGCGCAACCCUUGAUCUUAGUUGCCAGCAUUAAGUUGGGCACUCUAAGGUGACUGCCGGUGACAAACCGGAGGAAGGUGGGGAUGACGUCAAAUCAUCAUGCCCCUUAUGACCUGGGCUACACACGUGCUACAAUGGAUGGUACAAAG